rnacentral:tRNA from 1 species
GAAUAGCUUAAUGGUUAAAGCAGAGGACUGAAAAUCCUCGUAUAAGAGUUCGAUUCUCUUUC